GACGAACGCUGGCGGCGGGCUUAACACAUGCAAGUCGAACGGAAAGGCCCUGCUGUUGUGGGGUGCUCGAGUGGCGAACGGGUGAGUAACACGUGAGUAACCUGCCCUUGACUUUGGGAUAACUUCAGGAAACUGGGGCUAAUACCGGAUAGGAGCUCCGGCUGCAUGGUGGGGGUUGGAAAGUUUCGGCGGUUGGGGAUGGACUCGCGGCUUAUCAGCUUGUUGGUGGGGUAGUGGCUUACCAAGGCUUUGACGGGUAGCCGGCCUGAGAGGGUGACCGGCCACAUUGGGACUGAGAUACGGCCCAGACUCCUACGGGAGGCAGCAGUGGGGAAUAUUGCACAAUGGGCGGAAGCCUGAUGCAGCAACGCCGCGUGCGGGAUGACGGCCUUCGGGUUGUAAACCGCUUUCGCCUGUGACGAAGCGUGAGUGACGGUAAUGGGUAAAGAAGCACCGGCUAACUACGUG
rnacentral:rRNA from 1 species